UACAGAGACUGCAAGCGUUAUUCGGAUUCACUGGGCGUAAAGGGUGCGCAGGCGGUCGUGUGUGUCAGGUGUGAAAUCCCGGAGCUUAACUCCGGAACUGCGCCUGAAACUACACGACUAGAGCAUUGGAGAGGGAAGUGGAAUUCAUGGUGUAGCAGUGAAAUGCGUAGAUAUCAUGAGGAACACCAGAGGCGAAGGCGACUUCCUGGACAAUUGCUGACGCUCAGGCACGAAAGCAUGGGGAGCAAAAGGGAUUAGAUACCCCUGUAGUCCAUGCCCUAAACGGUGCACACUAGGUCUUGGAGGAUUCGACCCCUUCAGGGCCCAAGCUAACGCGUUAAGUGUGCCGCCUGAGGACUACGGUCGCAAGACUAAA
rnacentral:rRNA from 1 species